GACGAACGCUGGCGGCGUGCCUAACACAUGCAAGUCGAACGGAACUGUUUUGAAAGAUUUCUUCGGAAUGAAUGUGAUUUAGUUUAGUGGCGGACGGGUGAGUAACGCGUGAGUAACCUGCCUUCAAGAGGGGAAUAACAUUCUGAAAAGAAUGCUAAUACCGCAUGACAUAUCGGAACCACAUGGUUUUGAUAUCAAAGAUUUUAUCGCUUGAAGAUGGACUCGCGUCCGCUUCGUUAGUAGGUGAUGUAACGGCUCACCAAGACCGCGAUCGGUAGCCGGUCUGAGAGGUUGAACGGCCACGGUGGGACUGAGACACGGCUCAGACUCCUGCGGGAGGGAGCAGGGGGGGAUAGUGCGCAAUGGGCACAACCCUGACGCAGCUACGCCGCGUGAAGGAUGAAGGUUUUCGUAGUGUAAACUUCUUUUAUUAAGGACGAAAAAUGACGGUACUUAAUGAAUAAGCUCCGGCUAACUACGUG
rnacentral:rRNA from 1 species